CCUUUGUACACACCGCCCGUCGCUACUACCGAUUGAAUGGCUUAGUGAGGUCUCCGGAUUGGCUUCGAGGACUCGGCAACGGGACCUUGUUGCUGAGAAGCUGAUCAAACUUGGUCAUUUAGAGG
rnacentral:rRNA from 1 species